rnacentral:rRNA from 1 species
GACGGAGGAUGCAAGUGUUAUCCGGAAUCACUGGGCGUAAAGCGUCUGUAGGUGGUCAAAUAAGUCAACUGUUAAAUCUUGAGGCUCAACCUCAAAAUCGCAGUCGAAACUAUUCGACUGGAGUAUAGUAGGGGUAAAGGGAAUUUCCAGUGGAGCGGUGAAAUGCGUAGAGAUUGGAAAGAACACCGAUGGCGAAGGCACUUUACUGGGCUAUUACUAACACUGAGAGACGAAAGCUAGGGUAGCAAAUGGG